AUUGAACGCUGGCGGCAGGCCUAACACAUGCAAGUCGAACGAGUGGCGGACGGGUGAGUAAUGUCUGGGAAACUGCCUGAUGGAGGGGGAUAACUCCUGGAAACGGUAGCUAAUACCGCAUACCAUCAGAUUUUCCCAGAUGGGAUUAGCUAGUUGUUGGGGUAACGGCUCACCAAGGCCACGAUCCCUAGCGGGUCUGAGAGGAUGACCAGCCACACUGGAACUGAGACACGGUCCAGACUCCUACGGGAGGCAGCAGUGGGGAAUAUUGCACAAUGGGCGAAAGCCUGAUGCAGCCAUGCCGCGUGUAUGAAGAAGGCCUUCGGGUUGUAAAGUACUUUCAGCAGGGAGGCGUUACCCACAGAAGAAGCAACGGCUAACUCCGUGCCAGCAGCCGCGGUAAUAC
rnacentral:rRNA from 1 species